rnacentral:rRNA from 1 species
AAGAGUUUUAUUAAAAGUGUUUGGAAACAUCAGGAACAUAACAGAUAUUUCUUGGUUUCAACUUUGCGACAUCAAAAGAGAAAGACUAGAAAAGGAAUAUAUAGAACAAGAACCUUUUUAAAGCGUAUCAGCCGACCCGGCUUACGAAUUUAUACCAACUAUCAAGGAAUUCCUAAAGUUUUGGGUGGAAUGGGAAUUGCUGAAUCUGAAAAAGGUUCAUCGGAUUUAAAAAAAAAGUUCAUCAGAUUUCAAAAAAAGUUCAUCAGAUCUAACAAAAGUUCAUCGAAAUUGAAAAGGAAUUCAUGGAUUUCGAAAAAAGUUCACAGAAUUUAA